rnacentral:rRNA from 1 species
UACGGAGGGGGGCUAGCGUUGUUCGGAAUUACUGGGCGUAAAGCGCGCGUAGGCGGACCUGCAAGUCGGGGGUGAAAGCCCGAGGCUCAACCUCGGAACUGCCUUCGAUACUGUGGGUCUCGAGUCCGGGAGAGGUGAGUGGAAUUCCUAGUGUAGAGGUGAAAUUCGUAGAUAUUAGGAAGAACACCAGUGGCGAAGGCGGCUCACUGGCCCCGGUACUGACGCGUGAGGCGGCGAAAGCGUGGGGAGCAAACAGG